AACGAACGCUGGCGGCAUGCCUGACACAUGCAAGUCGAACGAGAUCUUCGGGUCUAGUGGCGCACGGGUGCGUAACGCGUGGGAAUCUGCCCUUUGGUUCGGAAUAACAGUUGGAAACGACUGCUAAUACCGGAUGAUGACGAAAGUCCAAAGAUUUAUAGCCAGAGGAUGAGCCCGCGUAGGAUUAGCUAGUUGGUGUGGUAAAGGCGCACCAAGGCGACGAUCCUUAGCUGGUCUGAGAGGAUGAUCAGCCACACUGGGACUGAGACACGGCCCAGACUCCUACGGGAGGCAGCAGUGGGGAAUAUUGGACAAUGGGCGAAAGCCUGAUCCAGCAAUGCCGCGUGAGUGAUGAAGGCCUUAGGGUUGUAAAGCUCUUUUACCCGGGAUGAUAAUGACAGUACCCGGAGAAUAAGCUCCGGCUAACUCCGUGCCAGCCGCCGCAGUAA
rnacentral:rRNA from 1 species